rnacentral:rRNA from 1 species
AUUGAACGCUGGCGGCGUGCCUAACACAUGCAAGUCGAGCGGUAACAGGUGUAGCAAUACAUGCUGACGAGCGGCGAACGGGUGAGUAAUGCUUCGGAAUCUACCCAAUGGUGGGGAAUAACCAGCCGAAAGGUUGGCUAAUACCGCAUACGUCCCACGGGAGAAAGCAGGGGAUCGCAAGACCUUGCGCCAAUGGAUGAGCCGAAGUCGGAUUAGCUAGUGGUAGGGUAACGGCCUACCAAGGCGACGAUCCGUAGCUGGUCUGAGAGGACGACCAGCCACACUGGGACUGAGACACGGCCCAGACCUCCUACGGGAGGCAGCAGGUGGGGAAUAUUGGACAAGUAGGGGGAAACCCUGAUCCAGCGACGCCGCGUGUGUGAAGAAGGCC